GACAAUGCGUAGAUAGGGAAUAGUAAAUAAAGCUGCUUCUACAGAGAGCUGACGGCCGGUGUGAGUCAGUGUAGCACUUUUUUGAAUCCACCCUUGAGUGAGUGGUGAAGCACUAAGCUUAAGCCAUUCCGGUAAAGAUAGCCGUUAUCUAUCUUUAGAGUGGUCUAUAUUUUAUAUAUAGGCAACAAGGGUGGUAUCGCGGGUGCUCUCGUCCCUUCU
rnacentral:ncRNA from 1 species